AUCCAGCUGACGAGUCCUGAAUAAGACGAAACACGCGUCCUGGAA
rfam:Schistosoma mansoni strain Puerto Rico chromosome W, complete genome